AAUGAACGUUGGCGGCGUGGAUUAGGCAUGCAAGUCGAGCGAGAACCCCGCAAGGGGGGACAGCGGCGAAAGGGACAGUAAUGUGUAGAUUAUCUGCCCUCAGGUCCGGGAUAGCUGCGGGAAACUGCAGGUAAUACCGGAUAACAUCUCCGGAUCAAAGGUGUGAUUCCGCCUGAGGAUGAGUCUGCAUCCUAUUAGCUAGUUGGUGGGGUAAUGGCCUACCAAGGCAUUGAUGGGUAGCAGGUGUGAGAGCACGACCUGCGUCAUUGGGACUGAGACACUGCCCAGACACCUACGGGUGGCUGCAGUCGAGAAUCUUCGGCAAUGGGCGCAAGCCUGACCGAGCGACGCCGCGUGUGGGAUGAAGGCCUUCGGGUUGUAAACCACUGUCAGAGGUGAUGAAAUGCAGGUGGGUUCUCCCAUCUGUUUGACAUAGCCUCAGAGGAAGGACGGGCUAAGUUCGUG
rnacentral:rRNA from 1 species